AUUCCUGCCUCGUUCUGCACAGGCUCAGGUGUGUACUGGUCUCAUCACAUAAAAUAUUCUGCAGGUUUAAUAGUUUUCCACACAGCUGACCUCUGUGUCCCUUUGCAGAAAUCAGGACUAAAUACUGCACUCUUCAUCGGAGAUGAUCGAGCUGGCAGUGCUGACAGAAGCUCGCUGUUCCAGCAUUUUUCUGCUCAAGGUGAAGAUAACAGCCAUAUUUGUUUUUCACUGACUCCAAAAAAUGUUAUAUCUGGUAAAGUUGUUUGCACUUUUUCUCAGUGUAUCUCUUUCUGUGUGUGUCUUUUUGUGUGUUUACAUCAUUUUUUGUUUUCAUCUUGUAGAACGAGUCCUCCAAAGUCAAUCAGCAAUCAGCUAUCUUCCCUCAGAUAGUCGACUAUGAGGGAAAAACUGUGUCCAUGAUCCUAAAGGACUGCUGCUCAAUCUGAUGGUGGGAAACUGAUACUAAUUAUUUCUUGGUUAUAUAUUCCAAAAUUGUAUGGGGUUAUGUGCAAGUGUUGACAAUUGGUCAAUUAUGUUUUGCAGUUCAUGAAUAAUGAGUUUUAGGAUUCCAGUGACAAGCAAUUGAAAACAAUCCAUGUUGAUCGAUCGAUUACAAAAUUCAGUGUGGAUGAGAUAUCAGAAAACAUGUUAAAUACUCACAGUACCUUAGAUGUUCAUGACGUCUGUGGUGCUUCUCUGUGAAAUUCUGUGUUUUUCUGCAUGCAAAGACAUGAAAAAUCCUGGAGAGAGAGAGGGGUGGAAAAUGCAGAUAUAGAAAGAGAAGUUAAAAUCUCCAAAUGUUAAAAAAAAAAACUCUCCAUAACUAUUGUUUGUUUACUUUAGUGUAAAAUGAAUACCAAUGUCGAUAAGUGGCUGAAAACAAAGAAGACUUUUGCCACUAGGAAACCAAGUAUUACGAAAGUCAUAAUUCUUUCUUCCACUUCACAUCUUUUAUUCUAAAUUAAGUAUUGUAUAAUAACUUUCAAUGACUCAAUAGAAUAAAAUGGAAUUUCCUUUUCUGGAGGUAUUUUCCCAUUAUUCUCACGUUGACUUAUUUAAAAUAAUUUUAAUCAAGCCUCUUACCUUCCAAUGAUUUAAUAUUAUCACAAGAUUAGUAAAGGUAAUGAACAAUCACACUUCUUGAAAGUUAUCCUAUCUGCAGUACAUUAUUAUUCCAAUAAUAUUGGUACCUCUGGAAAAUAAGAGCAGAAAAUAAAUCUGCAUUGCUUUUCCUUUUGGUCUUUCAUUCAUAAAAUUCUAACCUAUCACUGAAGUACAACUUUGUGAGCCAAUCAGAUGUAGUUUAAACAAUAUGGGUUUGAUCAUAGGAACAUUCUGUUUUAUGGUUUUGGACACCACUAUAAAAUCGAUGUAAAAUAAUUUGUACACGCUAACAUACACUUGGUAUUAACAUGUGAUCACCCUGAUCAAAACAAGCAGAUCGGAUCAUCAGGUGUACACUGAUAUUACACUUGGCAACAUCACCUAACGUUUCUAUCUGGAUAACCGAUCGGAUCUGUCUUUCCAUAUUUGAAUAAGUCUGCAGAGAUUGGUCAUUUUGCAUGAUGUCGAUCUGCAAAUGUACACGUGAAAGCUGGAUUGCAUUUGCAUUAUACUGAGAUCCGAUCACAAUGCGUCCUCGACUACUUCUGGACCAGGACACGCUGAGCCGGUAGCAUUCCCACGUCUUUUUGAUGUGUAUGUAGAUAACAUCCAGAUACAGGUCACAUGCUAUAAUGGCAAUUUUAAACGCAGCCUCUGACAUUUCUUAUUCACACCUGUAACGUUUUCUUCAAGAUAAUUUUUUUAAAGCUGCUUAAAUAAGUUAACUGCUUAUAAUUAAAUUAACUAAGGCCUAGUCCUGGUUUAAUCACACAAAGAGUGCCAUUUUUUCCUCCAGAUAUCUUGUGUUCUGCAAUGAGGAGCAAUGUCCCCAAGCAAUGAACUUAUUCACUUAUUGAAUGAAUCAGCUUUUUGAACAAAUCGGUUGAAUCAGUGAUUCAGUGAUUCACUCAUUAACAUGGUCAAAAGCUUUGUCCCUGAAUGAAUCAGCAGUUUGAAUGAAUCGGUUGAAUCUAAAUGACUCAUUCAUUAACAGUCACUUGUUGUCACCUAAGCCCCUUUCACACUGCACGUCGGACCCGCAAUAUUCCCGUAACAAUUGCCUGGUCGCCUUCUGUGUGAAAGCAACCACGUCCCGGAAUUGAUUACCGAAUUGAACCCGGGUCGGGGACCUAGUAACAUUGCGGUAAUCGAUCCGGAACGAGCGCUGUGUGAACAAAAGCCAGAUCUAAUUCCGUAUCGAAGUGAUGACGCGCGUUAUCGCGCGACUCUUUUACCGGCUGUUUUGAAGGAAGAUCAACAUUCGUGACGAAAACAUAUGUGCAAACUGUAAUGAAGCAGAGAUCAGUUAGUUCCUCACUUUCCGCGCUGACGCCGAGAUCGUUUGCUUGCUUCAGUUAAAGUAUAACGUGCCAAGCGUUGUCGACUCGUACAUUACACGUCACGCGAUGAUGUCACGUGUCGUUACGGGAUCUUCAAGGGUUGUGUGUGAAAGCACGCACAUAUACCGGGUCAUCACUGGCAGUGUGAAAGUGCCAAAUCUAGCGACCAGGGAACAAUUACAGGAACACUUUACCCCUGUAUUUGCCGGAAUGGCAGUGUGAAAGGGGCUUUACUUCACAUUUUGACUAUUUUUUUCAUGUUUUGUAUUAUAUGUUUUAUGUUAAAAACAAAACAUUAGGCCUAUUUAUGCAUCUGUAAAUGCAGGUUAAAUGCAUCCAUGCCCCCCCUGAGCUACACUGAACUGUGUAAAAAAAAAAAUUAGUAUGCUGGAUCGAAAGAUACUAAGUAGAUGAAGAGCUUCUUAAUCUACUUAGUUUUAAUUCUUUAUUCAAAGACACAAAAUGGAAUAAAGAACUAAAAACUAAACACAAUCUUGCUACACAAACAGUGUAUGAACAUUUUCCAUGUGUAUGAUGCUUUUCCAUUUACUUGUACUUUUACUUUCAAUUGUUAAGUAUGUUUAAUAUAAAAUAUAAAUACUUUUCAUACUUAAGUACAGUAAAUAUGACUUACUUUAAGACUUUUACUCAAGUAAUAUUCUAAAUGGUGACCUCAGCUUCUACCAAAGUUAUUUUCUGGUAAGAUAUCUGUACUUUUACUUUACUAUGGCUUUCAGGUAGUUUAUCCACCGCUGUUGUUUAUUUGGCAGAUUCUUUUAACCAACACACUAUUCAGACUAUAGAUGCUUUCUGGAAAUCAGCUGUCGAACCCAGAUUCUUAACACUGAAUUACUGCUAAUACAGGGCUUCGGUUAUAUACUGUUGCUGUGGAGACAAGAACUGGCAAUAGCAUUACAUUAGUUUGAAAGGUUCACUUUAGGAAGCUUUAGCAGCGCCCAACCCUCACCUACUCUUCUGUGAAAACAAACAACAUCUAAUUCAAUGAAAUAUGUCACUUUGACCAAAAAGAAAAUAAUGAUAAGCAAAACACUGGUCUAAUUAGAAAAGUCCAUUGCUGGAUGAAGUCUAACAUUUAUGGCAGUCAGCAACAAACCAAGAAUUAAGCCAAGAGUUUAGUUGAACACUUUAAAAGUAAAUGUCAUUAUUAAAUAAAUUGAUUUCGUGUUUAUCGAUCAC
rnacentral:lncRNA from 1 species